rnacentral:rRNA from 1 species
UACGGAGGGGACUAGCGUUGUUCGGAAUACUGGGCGUAAAGCGCACGUAGGCGGAUUUGUAAGUCAGGGGUGAAAUCCCGGGGCUCAACCUCGGAACUGCCUUUGAUACUGCAAAUCUCGAGUCCGGAAGAGGUGAGUGGAAUUCCUAGUGUAGAGGUGAAAUUCGUAGAUAUUAGGAAGAACACCAGUGGCGAAGGCGGCUCACUGGUCCGGUACUGACGCUGAGGUGCGAAAGCGUGGGGAGCAAACAGG